AACACAUGCAAGUUGAACGGAUAAAAUUUUUGGCUUGCCAAGAAUUUUAUUAGUGGCAAACGGGUGAGUAACACGUAGGAAUCUGCCCUGUAGUACGGAACAACAAUUGGAAACGAUUGCUAAUACCGUAUACGCUCGAAAGAGGAAAGAUUUAUCGCUAUAGGAUGAGCCUGCGGUAGAUUAGGUAGUUGGUAGGGUAAUGGCCUACCAAGCCUAUGAUCUAUAGCUGGUCUGAGAGGACGAUCAGCCACACUGGGACUGAGAUACGGCCCAGACUCCUACGGGAGGCAGCAGUGGGGAAUAUUGGACAAUGGGCGCAAGCCUGAUCCAGCAAUGUCGCGUGAGUGAUGAAGGCCUUAGGGUUGUAAAGCUCUUUCACCGGUGAAGAUAAUGACGGUAACCGGAGAAGAAGCCCCGGCUAACUUCGUGCCAGCCGCCGCAGUAAUAC
rnacentral:rRNA from 1 species